rnacentral:rRNA from 1 species
GAUGAACGCUGGCGGCGUGCCUAACACAUGCAAGUCGAGCGAUUCUCUUCGGAGAAGAGCGGCGGACGGGUGAGUAACGCGUGGGUAACCUGCCCUGUACACACGGAUAACAUACCGAAAGGUAUGCUAAUACGAGAUAAUAUACUUUUAUCGCAUGGUAGAAGUAUCAAAGCUCCGGCGGUACAGGAUGGACCCGCGUCUGAUUAGCUAGUUGGUAAGGUAACGGCUUACCAAGGCGACGAUCAGUAGCCGACCUGAGAGGGUGAUCGGCCACAUUGGAACUGAGACACGGUCCAAACUCCUACGGGAGGCAGCAGUGGGGAAUAUUGCACAAUGGGCGAAAGCCUGAUGCAGCAACGCCGCGUGAGCGAUGAAGGCCUUCGGGUCGUAAAGCUCUGUCCUCAAGGAAGAUAAUGACGGUACUUGAGGAGGAAGCCCCGGCUAACUACGUGCCAGCAGCCGCGGUAAUACGUAGGGGGCUAGCGUUAUCCGGAAUUACUGGGCGUAAAGGGUGCGUAGGUGGUUUCUUAAGUCAGAGGUGAAAGGCUACGGCUCAACCGUAGUAAGCCUUUGAAACUGGGAAACUUGAGUGCAGGAGAGGAGAGUGGAAUUCCUAGUGUAGCGGUGAAAUGCGUAGAUAUUAGGAGGAACACCAGUUGCGAAGGCGGCUCUCUGGACUGUAACUGACACUGAGGCACGAAAGCGUGGGGAGCAAACAGGAUUAGAUACCCUGGUAGUCCACGCCGUAAACGAUGAGUACUAGCUGUCGGAGGUUACCCCCUUCGGUGGCGCAGCUAACGCAUUAAGUACUCCGCCUGGGAAGUACGCUCGCAAGAGUGAAACUCAAAGGAAUCGACGGGGACCCGCACAAGUAGCGGAGCAUGUGGUUUAAUUCGAAGCAACGCGAAGAACCUUACCUAAGCUUGACAUCCUUUUGACCGAUGCCUAAUCGCAUCUUUCCCUUCGGGGACAGAAGUGACAGGUGGUGCAUGGUUGUCGUCAGCUCGUGUCGUGAGAUGUUGGGUUAAGUCCCGCAACGAGCGCAACCCUUGCCUUUAGUUGCCAGCAUUAAGUUGGGCACUCUAGAGGGACUGCCAGGGAUAACCUGGAGGAAGGUGGGGAUGACGUCAAAUCAUCAUGCCCCUUAUGCUUAGGGCUACACACGUGCUACAAUGGGUGGUACAGAGGGCAGCCAAGUCGUGAGGCGGAGCUAAUCCCUUAAAGCCAUUCUCAGUUCGGAUUGUAGGCUGAAACUCGCCUACAUGAAGCUGGAGUUACUAGUAAUCGCAGAUCAGAAUGCUGCGGUGAAUGCGUUCCCGGGUCUUGUACACACCGCCCGUCACACCACGGGAGUUGGGGGCGCCCGAAGCCGGAUUGCUAACCUUUUGGAAGCGUCCGUCGAAGGUGAAAUCAAUAACUGGGGUG